rnacentral:lncRNA from 1 species
CUGGAGAUCCAGAAACAAAAUCUAAACCAGCUGCUGUUUUGAGGCGGGUGCCUUACUUCAGCUUACUCAAAAGAACACAAGAUGAACGGAGGAAGAACAAGAGAUGCUUGUUUCAGAAUUCAAUUGUUUCAGAGAGAUGUGCUGUGAAAAUUAUCAGCCUCCAGCAGCGAUGCCUGGAACAGGGCGAGGGUUAAAGCUGUACCCCCAACUGCAGGCAGAGUGCAGCAAUGGAGGCAGCAGCCCACGAAGAGGACAAGGAAGAAUCAGGGCAAACCCCCAUUAUGUCAGCACAGCUGUGUGCGUGGUUGGACAGCCCACGUCACUCAUGGUUGGUUGUUUUUUGGAUAACUUUUUCAUAGCUUGACAUUAAAAGACAGGAUGAGCUUUCCCGUAUGCUGAAGGCACGGCAGAGCUGUGCUGAGCCAGUGGGAACAUCACUAUUUGUUUGCGUGGGUAACAGUCCCGGCCCUUGUGGCACAAACAAUUUUGUUUGGGGCCAUGAGAGCAGAAGUUCCCUACGCAGAACUGAUGUAGGGUCACCACAGCUUUGUGACAUCAACACCAAGCCCACCAAACCACAUCCUUAAGUGUCUCUAUCUUUCACCCAAACACAGGGACCCCACCUGGGCAGUCUGUUCCAGUGCAUUAUCACUCC